rnacentral:rRNA from 1 species
UACAGAGGGUGCGAGCGUUAAUCGGAAUUACUGGGCGUAAAGCGCGCGUAGGCGGCUUUUCAAGUCGAUUGUGAAAUCCCCGGGCUUAACCUGGGAACUGCAGUCGAGACUGUCUAGCUAGAGUAUGGGAGAGGGAAGUGGAAUUUCAGGUGUAGAGGUGAAAUUCGUAGAUAUUCGCAAGAACACCAGUGGCGAAGGCGGCUCACUGGCCCGGUACUGACGCUGAGGCGCGAAAGCGUGGGGAGCAAACAGG